UUUGUAUCUUUAAUGUGUUUGAGAUUUACAAAGAUUUGACAUUUCUGAUUAGAUUUUCUCUUACAAAAAAUGUAUCAACCCCUACAAAAAUGUCCAUUAAUUACAAUCCACAUAGUAAUUCACAUUUCCUGCUGGAGCAAACUGGCAAAAAUGGUGCAUAGUGUAAAUUGAUAGGAUCUCAAGCUCUAGGAGCAUUCUGAAUGAGCAUGCUGUUAGUUCAGAACUUCAAUGCUCUUCAGUAGGAAAUCAUUCUGAAUGAGCAUGCUGUUAGUUCAGAACUUCAAUGCUCUUCAGUAGGAAAUCAUUCUGAAUGAGCAUGCUGUUAGUUCAGAACUUCAAUGCCCUUCAGUAGGAAAUCAUUCUGAAUGAGCAUGCUGUUAGUUCAGAACUUCAAUGCUCUUCAGUAGGAAAUCAUUCUGAAUGAGCAUGCUGUUAGUUCAGAACUUCAAUGCUCUUCAGUAGGAAAUCAUUCUGAAUGAGCAUGCUGUUAGUUCAGAACUUAGUUAAACCAUCACAGAGUUGCAUAACAAUAUAUUAGGAAAGCCCACAGAUGCAGUUUUACUUGCUUGCUUGGGUCAUUGUUUUAUCCAGAGAUUUUGGUUGUUGGUUUGUAAGAAAAAAGUAAGAAACUGGUAGGUGGCCAGUAUGUUGCAAUAAACUUUAGUGAUCUAAAGCAUUAACAGAAAAUAUUUACAAAAUAAUACAUAUGAGCAGCUCGGAAUUGUUCAUCAGGAUGCACAACUGCAACGAUUUUCGACUUCUAGAGUCCUCCUCAGCAUUGUGUGGUUGCGUAGUUUGUCACAUUGUUGGAUUGACAUAAGUACACUAGAGAGUGUGUCACAGGUCUGUGAAUCAGUAGUUGUGCGUUAAGACAGGUCCCAUAGUUGACUAUAUACCUGUGUGUUGAGGUAUGCUGUGGGUCCUACAGCCUAUAGUCCUGUGCAUUGAGGUAUGCUGUGGGUCCUACAGCCUAUAGUCCUGUCCGUUGAGGUAUGCUGUGGGUCCGUUAGACCUCUCGGAGUUGGUCUCUCCAAUCACAAUAAUCAGGGUCUGAGUUGUCACUUGUAGAGUGGUUUCCACAGGCUAGAGAAGGUCAGUGCAGGGCAGUAGCUCAAUGAUCGGGGGUUAUGGCUACUCCAGACCAGGUCAGUGCAGGGCAGUAGCUGAACGAUCAGGGGGUUAUGGUUACUCCAGACCAGGUCAGUGCAGGGCAGUAGCUGAACAAUCAGGGGGUUAUGGUUACUAUGAGACCAGGUCAGUGCAGGGCAGUAGCUGAAUGAUCAGGGGGUUAUGGUUACUCCAGGUCAGUGCAGGGCAGUAGCUGAACAAUCAGGGGGUUAUGGUUACUAUGAGACCAGGUCAGUGCAGGGCAGUAGCUGAAUGAUCAGGGGGUUAUGGUUACUAUCAGACCAGGUCAGUGCAGGGCAGUAGCUGAAUGAUCAGGGGGUUAUGGUUACUAUCAGACCAGGUCAGUGCAGGGCAGUAGCUGAAUGAUCAGGGGGUUAUGGUUACUAUCAGACCAGGUCAGUGCAGGGCAGUAGCUGAAUGAUCAGGGGGUUAUGGUUACUAUGAGACCAGGUCAGUGCAGGGCAGUAGCUGAAUGAUCAGGGGGUUAUGGGGUUACUCCAGACCAGGUCAGUGCAGGGCAGUAGCUGAACGAUCAGGGGGUUAUGGUUACUCCAGACCAGGUCAGUGCAGGGCAGUAGCUGAACAAUCAGGGGGUUAUGGUUACUAUGAGACCAGGUCAGUGCAGGGCAGUAGCUGAAUGAUCAGGGGGUUAUGGUUACUCCAGGUCAGUGCAGGGCAGUAGCUGAACAAUCAGGGGGUUAUGGUUACUAUGAGACCAGGUCAGUGCAGGGCAGUAGCUGAAUGAUCAGGGGGUUAUGGUUACUCCAGGUCAGUGCAGGGCAGUAGCUGAACAAUCAGGGGGUUAUGGUUACUAUGAGACCAGGUCAGUGCAGGGCAGUAGCUGAAUGAUCAGGGGGUUAUGGUUACUCCAGGUCAGUGCAGGGCAGUAGCUGAACAAUCAGGGGGUUAUGGUUACUAUGAGACCAGGUCAGUGCAGGGCAGUAGCUGAAUGAUCAGGGGGUUAUGGUUACUAUCAGACCAGGUCAGUGCAGGGCAGUAGCUGAAUGAUCAGGGGGUUAUGGUUACU